rnacentral:rRNA from 2 species
CGCUAGCUACAGGCUUAACACAUGCAAGUCGAGGGGAAACGACAUCGAGAGCUUGCUUUUGAUGGGCGUCGACCGGCGCACGGGUGAGUAACGCGUAUCCAACCUGCCCAUCACUUGGAAUAACCUUGCGAAAGUAAGACUAAUACCCAAUGACAUCCCACGAAGGCAUCCGAAUGGGAUUAAAGAUUUAUCGGUGAUGGAUGGGGAUGCGUCUGAUUAGCUUGUUGGCGGGGUAACGGCCCACCAAGGCAACGAUCAGUAGGGGUUCUGAGAGGAAGGUCCCCCACAUUGGAACUGAGACACGGUCCAAACUCCUACGGGAGGCAGCAGUGAGGAAUAUUGGUCAAUGGGCGAGAGCCUGAACCAGCCAAGUAGCGUGCAGGAUGACGGCCCUAUGGGUUGUAAACUGCUUUUAUAAGGGAAUAAAGUGAGUCUCGUGAGACUUUUUGCAUGUACCUUAUGAAUAAGGACCGGCUAAUUCCGUGCCAGCAGCCGCGGUAAUACGGAAGGUCCGGGCGUUAUCCGGAUUUAUUGGGUUUAAAGGGAGCGUAGGCCGGAGAUUAAGCGUGUUGUGAAAUGUAGAGGCUCAACCUCUGCACUGCAGCGCGAACUGGUCUUCUUGAGUACGCACAACGUGGGCGGAAUUCGUGGUGUAGCGGUGAGACGCUUAGAUAUCACGAAGAACUCCGAUUGCGAAGGCAGCUCACGGGAGCGCAACUGACGCUGAAGCUUGAAAGUGCGGGUAUCGAACAGGAUUAGAUACCCUGGUAGUCCGCACGGUAAACGAUGGAUGCCCGCUGUUGGCCUGAAUAGGUCAGCGGCCAAGCGAAAGCAUUAAGCAUCCCACCUGGGGAGUACGCCGGCAACGGUGCAUCAAAGGGGAAUUGACGG